AAACCAUGGUGAAAGGAACUGAUUUAACAAAUCCUUGAAUCUUUCCCAGACUUGAUAGAACGUUUCAUUGUCUUUUUAGGAAAAUGUAGAAAUCUGUCAUUUUAACCU